CUCCUCCUCGAUGCCGUACUUGGCGCUCGCCCACAACCGCGUCUCCUCCUUGAACCACGCGGCCUCAGUGGACGGCUGGGGCACCUCACAUAGGAACGUGGCCGACUCCUUCUCCCGCACCUCCAGAUCUUGCAGCCGCUUUUUGAAGGGAACCGCGGGCUCUGCCAGGAGAGAAGACUGCUGGGUUGCUUACAAAUACACUACUUCAAAGUAAACUUUCUCUAGUAGCAUAUCAGAAGCAAAGUAAAAUCUAUUUGGAGCAAGUAAAUCUGACUGCUACCCCACUAUUUUGAAGCAUACAUGGGAAGCUGGUUCCUGGACCCCCGCAUAUACCAAAAUCUGUGCAUACUCAAGUUCUACGGUCAGCCCUGUGGAACCCAAGCAUAGGACAAGCCGGCCCUCCCUAUACACACAGGUUUGACAUCCUGAGAACACUGCUGGUUCCCUUCCCAUUUGGUUCCAGAAAAUCUGCGUAUAAGUGGACUCAGUGGUGCAAACCUAUGUUGUUCAAGGGUCAACUAUAUAUGAUGAAUUAUUGUUACCUACAGUCACUCUACCAUGCUACUAAACACUAGAACUGAUUCAUUUUCUCUGACUGUGUGUCUCUACCCAUUAACCAGCCCCUCUUCAUCUCCCUUCCCGCUUCCCUCCCCAGCCUCUGGUAACCAUCAUUCAGUUCUCUACCUCCGUGAAAUCAACAUGAGUAAGAACUGGUGAAACCCAAACAUAGUCUCGAAUUUAGCUUUUUUUUUUUUUUUAACUGUAAGAGGCUAAACAUUCUUGAGGAGGACACAAAAAAGUCUGAAGACAACUGUCCAGAUGAGAAUCUUGCACUUGCACAAGUAGAGAGGAGAGUUAGUUUUUAUACCAUCGCAUCCCCAAUCCCAGCUUUAUUGAUGCAUAACAAAUAAAAAUUGUACAUAUUUAAAGUGUACAA
rnacentral:lncRNA from 1 species